GACGUAGGGCGCGAGCGUUGUCCGGAUUUACUGGGCGUAAAGGGCGCGUAGGCGGCGCAACAAGUCACUUGUGAAAUCUCCGGGCUUAACCCGGAGCGGCCAAGUGAUACUGUCGUGCUAGAGUGCGGAAGGGGCUACUGGAAUUCUCGGUGUAGCGGUGAAAUGCGUAGAUAUCGAGAGGAACACCUGCGGCGAAGGCGGGUAGCUGGGCCGACACUGACGCUGAAGCGCGAAAGCCAGGGGAGCGAACGGG
rnacentral:rRNA from 1 species